rnacentral:rRNA from 1 species
UAAGGAAUAUUGGUCAAUGGACGCAAGUCUGAACCAGCCAUGCCGCGUGGAGGAUUAAGGCCCUCUGGGUUGUAAACUCCUUUUAUCUGGGAAGAAAUGUACUUUUUCUUGAGUACUUGACGGUACCAGAGGAAUAAGCACCGGCUAACUCCGUGCCAGCAGCCGCGGUAAUACGGAGGGUGCAAGCGUUAUCCGGAUUCACUGGGUUUAAAGGGUGCGUAGGUGGGCAGGUAAGUCAGUGGUGAAAUCUCCGGGCUUAACCCGGAAACUGCCGUUGAUACUAUUUGUCUUGAAUAUUGUGGAGGUAAGCGGAAUAUGUCAUGUAGCGGUGAAAUGCUUAGAUAUGACAUAGAACACCAAUUGCGAAGGCAGCUUACUACACAAUCAUUGACGCUGAGGCACGAAAGCGUGGGUAGCGAACA